UUCCGUCCACUAGAUUAUACGUCACAGUAGCAGCAUUGCCUUAAAUUCCCAGUCCGCCUUCUGUUGACUGGAGUUGGUAACGCAUUUGAGUAAAAUGUAUAUUUAAUUUUUAGACAACAAGCUAAAGUGUAGGAAGCGUGUAUGGAUGUUACGUAGGGACGUUUGAUUCCGGUACUACGAGGUAUGCGUCCAAAUCGCUAAGCAGUAUACUUCAAAGCAGUGUGAUGAUGCCUGUAUCAUUUUAUCAGCAGCACGUCAUCAAUGACGUCUGAAGCUUCAUUGCAUCGAAUAACCACCUGAUUGGUUUGGUUUUGGGCUGGUUCGUUUCGUUUCGUUUUAAAAUAAUCUUUGUCUAAAAAUAAAAUAUGAUCCUCAACUGCAUUUCCCCUCCAGUCAGCAGACGGCGAUGUGUGUCUUUCAGGCAACGCUUCCAGCGUGACGUAUAAUCUUGUGGAUGGUUCUUCAGAAUCAGCUCGUCAACCAUCUUGGUAGCUUGCUAGCCAACAUAGCCGAAAGAUUCAAGCUAGUCAUACGCUUUCGGUGUAUUUUAACAACUGUGUUUUAGACACACUUCUGUCGUAUCUACUUGUUAACCUAUUUAAUAUUACGUUAUUUUGUGAUAGUCAGCUAUAGUAUCUGGCUGGUUUAGUUAGUACUAGCCUAGUCGCUAAUGAUAGCUAGCUAACAUCCCCGACCAUGAGUUCACUAAAUUACUCCCCUCCUGUUGAAGAAGAGGAUGUCUGCUGGACGGAGAAAGUGUCUGUGGCAGAACAUUGUUGAGUAUGUUACAGUAUAACAAUUAGAAGGUGAGGCUGUUACAGUGAAAGAAGAGGAAAACGCUUUCAGAGUGAAGGAGGAGGAUGUUACAAUAAAAGGAGAGGAGGAUGCAGUUUUUGGUGUGAAAGAGGAGGGGGAGAUGACUGUCACAUUGAAGGAAGAAGAGGAGGUUGGAGAUCUGUUUAACACCAGAGAGAGACAUGACUAUCUUGGAUCCUCUGGGGAGCCUCAACAUCCUCAUGAUGCUGACGAAGUAGAGAAGAGUCUCUCCAGAUCAGAACACCUCAAGAAACGCCCGCAGAGAUCCACAGGGAAUAAAUCUCACUGCUGCUCUGACUGUGGGAAGAGAUUCACCUCAUCAGGCAUUAUAAUUCAACAGAGAAUCCACACAGGAGAGAAACCUUUAUAGCUGUGGUCAAUGUGGGAAGAGUUUUCAACGUGGGAAGAGUUUUUCUCAGUCAACCAUCCUGAUAUCACUCCAGAGAACACGCACAGGAGAGAAACCUUAUAGCUGUGUUCAGUGUGACGAGAUACUCUGAUAAAAGAUAUCUGAUCAAACAUCAGAAAAUACUUACAUGGAGUUAUUUCGUGAUAUCAAUGAAAUUAUGUCGCAAUGUAGAAUGUUUUAACAUUGUAGUAGGAGGAUUUUCAGGAAUUUCACAAUGGAGGAGCCAAUGUAAAUGCCCCAUUCAAUUGAUUUCAGCGUGAUAUAGAUAUUAGCCUCAGUGGAAAAAUCCAGGCUCUGAAUUGAAAGAGUACUAUUUAUGAGAUUUAACAAAAAGUAACUCACACAAAAACAGCUGUCCUACACUUACCAUGUUGGUGACCCACUUGAAUCAAAAUGCAACACUUCAAAAUGUUUGUGGCCGUUUUCUCCUAAUUGUCCUCUAACCAAUGAUGUACACAUUAUUCCCAGAUUCUGUGGUUUUUGAGCUGUUAGUUUUAACAGGACGUGCAACCCAUUCUCCAUCCUCUCGGCACAAUUGAUUUCAACAUGAUAUCGAUGAGUGAUGACAAAUAAGUGUUAUGUUCCUUUGUUUAGCGACCCCUACAUUUAAAUGCAUCACUCCAAUAUGUAGCUGACUGUCUUCUGCAGGUUGUCCUCUAACCAGUGAGGUAAAAGAUAUCUCCCAUUUCCAUGUGUUUUUUUUAGUUGUGCAACCUGAUUUCCCCCCUAAUCGAUAUCAGUGAUGAAUUGCUAUUUGUCAAAACAAGUGUUUCUGGUACUUGUGCAGUUUAUAAGGAGCUUGUUUAAAUAAAUACAAGUAAUAUGAU